GUUGGGGAGAAAGCUGAAUGCCUUUGACACUGCCUGUACCACUUUAUCUGCCUUCCUGCCUCUUGAUAACACUGGGAGUACUUGAAGGAACCUCUGGGUGACAAGGAAUACCCUUUGAAGACCACAAGAUCAGAUGACCUACAUGCUCCCUUCCAGCUAUAUGGGUAACCUAAGCUGUGGAAAAAAGAGACCAUCUGGAAAGAAUGCUGCGGUUUCACAGAGCCAACAUUAUUCUCUACCUCCCCUUCCUCUUCCUCUUUCUUUAUGGAUGGCAAACAGCGUUCAGAUGACAGAUUUUGGAAAAUUGUCUUAGGAGACGCAUUCUCAGGCAGUUCCAGUGUAUUGGUAUUUUGGAUGUUUCUCUGCAUUUUGUCAUACGGUUCAGAAGGGUGAUAGGCUUUCUGUGAACUGCUGGGCUUCAAGAAGGCUAUUAUCUUCCACUCAGGUUUAAUGGAGGAAUUUAUGGGAUUUUGCCACCUUGUGAGGUUCAGUGCUAGAAUUUCUGCGUUGGAUGGAUCAAGAAUCUACGGGGAGCCAAGUCACUUAAAAGUAUCAGUUAUUCCCAAUAUUCCCUUCAUCUAAUGAAGUUCCUCCAAAUUUCAUGAUCCUUGUGACAAUCCACCCCAGACUAUGGUGAGAGACCCAGAGCUGCAGCAGUUUUGGUUGUGGUUAUUCUGACAUUGACCCGAAGGGAGCAAGAAUGUUUCUCAGGAGCCCUUGCCUGGACUCCCCUUCCAGACCACAACUUCCCCGGUGAUAUGGGACCCUGGAGGAGGAAGUCUACAAUGUGGGAGAGAUGAGUUACCAGGAAGAUAACCUUUGCACUCAGAAGGCUUGCGAACCCCAGAGGAGACUGUCUGUCUGAGAGAUCACCUUACCCACACUGUGGAAUAAAAAUAUUGCCUCUGACAUUAGGGAACUGGCAUUCCCCUCCUCCACUGUUUGAAAAGGUAGGAUUGCAUCCUGCAAGAAGAUGCUGAAGUCCUACCCCCUAGUACCUGUGAAUGUGAGAUCGGGUCUCAUAUUCACAAAAUGUGGUACAGAGACACAAUGAAAUACUAAGCAACCGGCUGGGCAUGGCGGCCCAUGCCCAUAACCCCAGCACUUUGGGAGGCUGAGGAGGCAGAUCACCUGACGUCAGGAGUUGGAGACUAGCUUGGCCAACGUGGCAAAACCCCACCUCUACUAAAAAUACAAAAACUAGCCGGGCAUGGUGGUGCUUGCCUGUAAUCACAGCUACUCGGGAGGCUGAGGCACAAGAAUGGCUUGAACCUGGGAGGUGGAGUUUGCAGUGAGCCAAGAUUGUGCCACUGUGCUUCAGCCUGGGCAACAGAGUGAGACCCUGUCUCAAAAAACAAUGGUCAUAUUAAAAUGAGGUCAUUAGGGUAGGCCUAAUCCCAAUAUGACUGAUGUCCUUAUAAAAAGGGAAUUCUACACACAGACAGGCAAACAGAGAGAGAAGACAUUGUGAACACACAGGGAGAAUGCCGGCUACAAGCAAAGGAAUGCCUGAGCCUACUAGAAGCAAGGAGAGUAGCCGUCAGAAGAAACCAACCUUGCUGACACCUUGAUUUUCGACUUGUAGCCACUAGAACUGUCAGACAAUAAUUUUCUAUCAUGUAGGCCACCCAGUUUGUGGUACUUUGUUAUGGCAGACCAAGGAAACACAUGUAUCCUCCAUUUCUGUCUUACAUUCCAUAUGCAGUCUUUUAGCCUUUCUUGUUGGUUCCGGCUUCCAUAUUUAUCCACAAGUGUCUGCUCACCCCCUCCUCUGCUACCACUGCGCACUGUGCCUGAGUCCCUCCAUCUCUCACCUGGCUCCCUGCAGUAGCUGCCUAACCAGUCCCCCUGCUUGUACCUUGGUCUCCUCACAACCUACUUCCAACAUGGUAGCCAGAGUGGUGCUCUUAAAACAGUAGUAACUGCACUCAGAUGUUUAUCGCAGCACUAUUCAAAACAGCAAAGUCAUGGAACCAACCUAAGUGUCCACCAACAGUUAACUGGAUAAACAAAAUGUGGCACAUAGACACAGUGAAAUACUAAGCAAUCGGCCGGGCAUGGUGGCUCAUGUAUGUAAUCCCAGUACUUUAGGGGGCUGAGGAGGGCAGAUCACCUGAGGUCAGGAGUUGGAGAACAGCUUGGCCAACAUGGCGAAACCCUGUCUCUACUGAAAAUACAAAAAUUAGCCAGGCUUGGUGGUGCUUGCCUGUAAUCGCAGCUACUCGGGAGGCUGAGGCACGAGAAUAGCUUGAACCUGGGAGGUGGAGGUUGUAGUGAGCUAAGAUUGUGCCACUGCACUCCAGCCUGGGCAACAGAGUGAGACCCUGUUUCAAAAAAAAAAAAAAAAAAAAGAGCUACUCCACAACCAUAAAGCGAAUGAAUCAUGUCCUUUGCGGCAACAUGGAUAGAACUGGAGGCCAUAAUCUUAAGUGAACUAACUCAUCAGCAGAAGAUCAAAUAUCACAUGUUCUUACACAUAAGUGGGAACUCAACAGGACAUAAAGAUGGAACUAAUAGACACCGGGAACUCCAAAAGCAGGGAGGAUGGGAAGGGAGUGAGGUUUGAAAAAUUACCUAUCGGUUACAAUGUUCAAUAUUUGGGUGAUGGGUACACUUGAAGCCAAUUACACUCUCCACCAUUACAUAUGUAAUACCCAUGGAACAAACAAGCACAUCUACCUCCUGAAUCUAUAAUUUUAAAGAAAGAGGGUGGGGGAAGAAGUAAGAUCAUAUCAGUUCUGCUCAGUGUUUGUCACUGGUAGUAAAUGUAUUCCACUUAGAGUGAAAAGCCAAAGCCUUUACAUAGCCAAGGAGCCUCGAUGGUCUGACUUUGAACCCGUUAUUCCACUGACCACGUUGCUGCUUCCCUCUUGCUCAUUCAGCUUGUGCCACAUUGAUUCUUUUUUUGUUUGUUUGUUUGAGAUGGAGUCUCGCUCUGUUGCCCAGGCUGGAGUGCAGUAGCGCAAUCUCGGCUCACUGCAACCUCCUCCUCCUGGGUUCAAGCGAUUCUCCUGCCUCAGCCUCCUGAGUAGCUGGGAUUACAGGCAUGCACCAGCAUGCCUGACUAAUUUUUGUAUUUUUAGUAGAGAUGGGGUUUCACCAUGUUGGUCAGGCUAGUCUCGGACUCCUGACCUCAAAUGAUCCACCCGCCUUGGCAUCCCAAAGUGCUGGGAUUACAGGUGUCAGCCACUGCACCUGGCCGGCAUUGAUUCAUUUUUGCUAUUUGACCAUACCAGGCACUCUUGCCUUACGGCUAUCAUGAGAACACAGCUCAUAGCUCCCAGCUGUGUGCUACCCAUGCCAAGAUUAUGCUCCUACCCAGCCAAUGACUGAGACAAGCCAUUUCUUCCGCAUGCAGGACUCCUUGAAUGAGCAGUCUCUACUGAGUGGCUCCCCACUGGUCUGUCUGAGGCCAUCUCAGAGCUGCAGUACAGUCUGAGGCUCUUGCUGACCAAGCUUCCUUCCUUCCCUCUCUCCUUUCACAGGGAGUAGGCCGGCAUUAUGGUUUGCAGGCUCUCCCAGCCUACCCCUGCCGGUGUCCCCUUUAUUUGACAUGGGCAUUGCCCUCUAUGUUGUUGCUGUUUUCUCCAAAUGCUUCUUCUCCAGUUAUCUCCUGGGAUAACUCUACUUCUCCUUCAAGCCUUUGCUUAAACAUCAUCUUCCUAGUGAGACCUACCCUGAGCUCCAUUGACUGUAUUCUACUUAUUUUAUUCAUAUUUAUUUUUAGCUCUAGGGCCUGGCUCUGUCACCCAGGCUGGAGUGCAGUGGCACAGUCAUGGCUCAGUUCAGCUUUCAACUCCUGGGCUCAAGCAAUCCUCUUGCCUCAGCUUCCUGAGUAGCUUGGAUUACAGGCAUGCAUUACUGUGCCCAGCUAAAUAGUCUUAUUUAUUUUUUUUCUUGUAGAGACAGGGCCUCACUAUGUUUCCCAGGCUAGUCUCAAACUACUAUGUUUCCCAGGCUAGUCUCAAACUCCCAGCCUCAAGCGAUCCUCCUGCUUCAAUCUCCCAAAGCUGGGAUUGCAGGCCUGAGGCCCAGCCAUUUAAAACAGCAUUCCGUCUCCGUUUUCUCUGCUCUGGUUCUUUUGCUCAGGGUCCUUUUUUUCUGCUUGUCAGUUUCUAACUUGUUAUAAUUUACUUAGUUGUCAUGCUUACUGUUUGUUUUCUAUCCACCCUAG
rnacentral:lncRNA from 10 species